GAUGAACGCUGGCGGCGUGCCUAAUACAUGCAAGUCGAACGGAGCCGUAAGGCUUAGUGGCGACCGGGUGCGUAACACGUAGCUGACCUGCCCUCGCGCGGGGGACAACAGUUCGAAAGGACUGCUAAUACCGCAUAGCUUCGCUGAGUUUAGAAAUCAGCAAAGAAACUUCCGGGGCGCGAGGAGGGAGCUGCGGCCCAUCAGGUAGUUGGUGAGGUAGAAGCUCACCAAGCCGACGACGGGUAGGGGGCCUGAGAGGGUUACCCCCCACACUGGG
rnacentral:rRNA from 1 species